CCUACGGGGGGCAGCAGUGGGGAAUAUUGCGCAAUGGGCGAAAGCCUGACGCAGCGACGCCGCGUGAGGGAUGAUGGUCUUCGGAUCGUAAACCUCUGUCAGCAGGGAGGAACGGUCACUGUGCUAAUCAGCAGUGAAUUGACGGUACCUGCAAAGGAAGCACCGGCUAACUCCGUGCCAGCGGCCGCGGUAAUACGGCGGGUGCGAGCGUUAAUCGGAAUUACUGGGCGUAAAGCGCUCUUAGGUGGUAUGUCAAGUCAAGAGUGAACUCCCCGCGCUCAACGGGGGAACUGCCUUUGAAACUGGCAAACUGGAGUGUGUGAGAGGAUAGUGGAAUUCCAGGUGUAGGAGUGAAAUCCGUAGAUAUCUGGCGGAACAUCAGUGGCGAAGGCGACUAUCUGGCACAUAACUGACGCUGAGGAGCGAAAGCGUGGGUAGCAAACAGGAUUAGAUACCCUAGUAGUC
rnacentral:rRNA from 1 species